UACGUAGGGGGCAAGCGUUGUCCGGAUUUACUGGGCGUAAAGAGCGUGUAGGCGGCCACGCAGGUCCGUUGUGAAAACUGGAGGCUCAACCUCCAGACGUCGACGGAAACCGUAUGGCUAGAGUCCGGAAGAGGAGAGUGGAAUUCCUGGUGUAGCGGUGAAAUGCGCAGAUAUCAGGAAGAACACCGAUGGCGAAGGCAGCUCUCUGGGACGGUACUGACGCUGAGACGCGAAAGCGUGGGGAGCGAACAGG
rnacentral:rRNA from 1 species